rnacentral:rRNA from 1 species
UACGUAGGCAGCAAGCGUUGUUCGGAAUUACUGGGCGUAAAGGGUGCGUAGGCGGCUUUUUAAGUUUGGUGUGAAAUCUCCCGGCUCAACCGGGAGGGUGCGCCGAAUACUGAGAAGCUAGAGUGUGGGAGAGGAAAGUGGAAUUCCUGGUGUAGCGGUGAAAUGCGUAGAUAUCAGGAGGAACACCGGUGGUGUAAACGGCUUUCUGGACCAUAACUGACGCUGAUGCACGAAAGCGUGGGUAGCAAACAGG